CCGACAGGAUGGGGACAACAUUCCGAAAGGAAUGCUAAUACCGAAUGAAGCGGAGGAGAGGCAUCUCUCUUCCGUGAAAGAUGGCCUCUUUUUAUGCUAUCACCUGUCGAUGGGUCUGCGUCUGAUUAGCUGGUUGGUGAGGUAACGGCUCACCAAGGCGACGAUCAGUAGCCGGUCUGAGAGGAUGAACGGCCACAUUGGGACUGAGACACGGCCCAG
rnacentral:rRNA from 1 species